AAGGAAAUGGCAGAGUGGUUUUGCAGCCGGCUUGAAACUGGCUCACGGGGGUUCAAUUCCUCCUUUCCUGG
rnacentral:tRNA from 2 species